rnacentral:rRNA from 1 species
AUGAGUAAACGGUUGCAUGGGGCAAUGAAAUCAAGUCCUGGUCCCCUUUUCUCUCUUAUAGAAUUAACUAAUUCAUUUCCUUUUUACUUUUGGAUUUUUUUUGAUUUGAUUUGGCAUUAUUCAACAAUAAAAAAAGAAAAAUUUCGACAAAUUCCUUUUUUUAAUUAUGUGAUAAUUAUGAGAACCAAUCCUACUACUUCUCCUCCCGGGGUUUCCACAAUUGAAGAAAAAAGUACAGGUCAUAUCGAUCAAAUUAUUGGACCCGUGCUGGAUGUCACUUUUCCCCAGGCAAGUUACCUUAUAUUUAUAACGCUUUGGUAG